ensembl:misc_RNA Metazoa_SRP Metazoan signal recognition particle RNA
GCCAGGCGUGGUGGCGGGCGCCUGUAAUCCCAGGUACUUGGAAGGCUGAGGCAGGAGAAUUGCUUGAACUCAGGAGGUGGAGGUUGCAGUGAGCCAAGAUCGCGCCACUGCACUCCAGCCUGGGUGACAGAGCAAGACUCUGUCUCAA